UGAAUGAUAACUGCUAUCUCUUGUGUAACUAUGUGAAGGCACUGAACAAGGAAAAUUGUGUCGGUAAUACAUUUGUAAAAUUAAUGUUACUUACCUUUUGCCGACCAGCGGGUCCAGGAUUCAUUUGCAAGGAUGUAUGGUUUCUUAAAAAUGGAUUAAAUUCGCUUCACGAAAUAACAUUACCCUUUUUACUUAAAACGCCAUAGUCAUACUUGUACCUUUUACUUUAUGUUGGCUUCAAUAUUAUCGUGUUUACUUUGAUAAAAAAAAGGCACCAUAUGUUGUAGAUGACAUCCAUACGUACUUUUCAAAAUUAAGUAAUUUUUAAACGUAGUUCCUGAAAUGAGACAUAAAAGAAAGAGGUGGUAGAUACUAAAUGAACAUUCAAGUCUCGUAAAUCGAAGAGAAACCGACAACGUUUAAAAUCGUGAUAAAAAAAAACGAAACAAUAAACCGGUCCUAAAAAAAUACAAAGAAAAUUAGAAACACGAACUCAACACAAAAACGGGGUGAUCUUAGGUUUAUCGCAAUAAGUAAGGUGAAACUGUGCUACUAACUAUCUACAAAAAACCAAAAUGACACAGACAUUAACAACUAUAGGUUACCGUACGGCCUUCAACAAUGAGCAAAGCCCAUACCACAUAGUCAGCUAUAAAAGGCCCCGAUAAGACAAUGUAAAACAAUUCAAACGAGAAAACUAACGGCCUUAUUUAUGUAAAAAAAUGAACGAAAAACAAAUAUGUAACACAUAAACAAACGACAACCACUGAAUAUAUAGGCUCCUGACUUGGGACAGGCACAUACAUAAAUAAUGUGGCGGAGUUAAAUAUGUUAGCGGGAUCCCAACCCUCCCCCUUAUCUGGGACAGUGGUAUAACAGUACAACAUAAGAACGAACUAUAAAAAUCAGUUGAAAAAGCCUUAACUCAUCAUAUGGACAAAAAUAUAUUUGGACGUGGCCGGGUACUUAUACAUCCCGACACAAAAAGACACAAUGAACAGAUCUGAGAGUACUCGCAGUUAUCUGACAGCUAAUUCAAAGCCACUAACAACUAAUAAAAAAAUCAUGCAUCUAAGACUAAACUAUCAAUCCGUACACAUCCUACAUCCAAUGGAUUUAGUGUAAAGACAUCAUAAACAGCCAGAG
rnacentral:lncRNA from 1 species